rnacentral:lncRNA from 1 species
UGUUUUAUAGAAAGUCUAUAUUAAAUGCAGGUGUUUCAGUGUUACAGGUGAUUCAUCAGUGUCACCUCUCACUCUGGCACUGUGGUCGGCUCAGCAUUUCACGUUUGGAUUCUUUCACACGCAGAAGUUUCAGUUCGUCGUUCUUCACGUCGGCUCAGAAUAUGUUUUAAAAAUAACGCUCAAAGAUUUGAACCUAAAACGUGUAAAUAGUUUCACAAGACAAAUCAAGCUCUAUUGUACAUUCUCGAGUAUUAAACACGUCUUCCACGAACACUUCCGUCUCUACUCGAUUUUAUUACUGAGGGGAAAUUAAUCUCACUAAUUAGUUUAACUGUUUCCUUUUUAGUGGUUAUGAACCAUUUAAUAGUGUGUGUGUGUGUGUGUGUGUGUGUGUGUGUGUGUGUGUGUGUGGUAUCUACACAUUUUAAAAAGCAACUUAACGAUUUAAUAUCUGCUGUUUGUUUACUCGUCGCAGUGAAACCACUUGUAAUAAAAAUGCAAAUUAGAAGUAGAUCUUUGCUUCCAGACAGUUUAAAUAAUGUCCGUGAAUAUGAACGCAGGGAAGUUUGUGUCACUUUUGAACUCUUAAAGGAAAUGUGUAUUUUCAAAUGUUUUGUACAAUAAAAUGUACUUUGAUCUCUUUUGUUCAUGUUUUUUUCUACAUUUCUUCAGUUCAGUGUCGAGGCGUCUCCGACGACAACACGCUUAAAGUUUAUAGAAAAACUGAAAUCAUUUUUAGAUUUGAGAUUCAAAGUGUGAUCGAAAGCUCCAGAACAGCCACUAAAGGGACCUGCUGAUGAAACUCAUGUGAUGUGACAGAAAGCUCCAGAACAGCCACUAAAGGGACCUGCUGAUGAAACUCAUGUGAUGUGACAGAAAGCUCCAGAACAGCCACUAAAGGGACCUGCUGAUGAAACUCAUGUGAUGUGACAGAAAGCUCCAGAACAGCCACUAAAGGGACCUGCUGAUGAAACUCAUGUGAUGUGCAGAUAAAAUUCCACCGUUUGUACAUUUUAGUUGUAGAACGCAAAGUUUAUUUUAACUUCAACGUGGAAGUUUAAAUGUUCUCUUUGAGUUAAAUGAGUUAUUUAGUCCUGGAGAUGUUCUGCACAUCUUUAAAUGAUCGAAG